rnacentral:rRNA from 1 species
ACGGGAGGCAGCAGUGGGGAAUAUUGGACAAUGGAGGCAACUCUGAUCCAGCGACGCCGCGUGAGUGAAGAAGUAUUUCGGUAUGUAAAGCUCUAUCAGCAGGGAAGAUGAUGACGGUACCUGACUAAGAAGCCCCGGCUAACUACGUGCCAGCAGCCGCGGUAAUACGUAGGGGGCAAGCGUUAUCCGGAUUUACUGGGUGUAAAGGGAGCGUAGACGGCUUUGUAAGUCUGAUGUGAAAGGCAGGGGCUCAACUCCUGGACUGCAUUGGAAACUACAGAGCUUGAGUGCCGGAGAGGUAAGCGGAAUUCCUAGUGUAGCGGUGAAAUGCGUAGAUAUUAGGAGGAACACCAGUGGCGAAGGCGGCUUACUGGACGGUAACUGACGUUGAGGCUCGAAAGCGUGGGGAGCAAACAGGAUUAGAUACCCUGGUA